UUCCUACGGGGGGCAGCAGUAGGGAAUCUUCCACAAUGGACGAAAGUCUGAUGGAGCAACGCCGCGUGAGUGAAGAAAGGUUUCGGCUCGUAAAGCUCUGUUGGUAGUGAAGAAAGAUAGAGGUAGUAACUGGCCUUUAUUUGACGGUAAUUACUUAGAAAGUCACGGCUAACUACGUGCCAGCAGCCGCGGUAAUACGUAGGUGGCAAGCGUUGUCCGGAUUUACUGGGUGUAAAGGGAGCGCAGGCGGGGAGCCCAAG
rnacentral:rRNA from 1 species